rfam:Picea glauca, whole genome shotgun sequence.
CACCUAUUAGUUUAGUUAGUUAGAGCAUUGUGUUACUAAUGCAAAAAUCACAAGUUCUAGACUUGUAUGGGCCG